GACGAACGCUGGCGGCGUGCUUAACACAUGCAAGUCGAACGGAAAGGCCCUGCUUGCAGGGUGCUCGAGUGGCGAACGGGUGAGUAACACGUGGGUGAUCUGCCCCUUACUUUGGGAUAAGCCUGGGAAACUGGGUCUAAUACUGGAUAGGACCAUGCUGUAGGUGGUGUGGUGGAAAGAUUAGUUUCGGUAAGGGAUGAGCUCGCGGCCUAUCAGCUUGUUGGUGGGGUAAUGGCCUACCAAGGCGUCGACGGGUAGCCGGCCUGAGAGGGGGGACGGCCACAUUGGGACUGCGUGACGACGCAGACACCUACGGGAGGCAGCAGUGGGGAAUAUUGCACCAUGGGCGCAAGGCUGAUGCAGCGACGCCGCGUGGGGGGUGACGGCCUUCGGGUUGUAAACUCCUUUCAGCCAUGGCGAAGCCCUUGUGGUGACGGUAGUGGUAGAAGAAGCACCGGCUAACUACGUG
rnacentral:rRNA from 1 species